AGCCCCUUCCCUGGCAGCUCCCCGCCCCCAGACGCACUUUUCCCGUAGAGCGCAGAGCAUCAGGUGCGGGUGUGGAGCAGCGGCCGCCCGCUUCCCCCGCACCCCAAUGGCACAGAUCCUCCUUCCCCUCACUCCCUCGUGCUAUGUGCCCCCUCCAUCCGCCACCCUCUCCUGUGGGCGUCUGCUCUGUCCGCCCCGCUUUUUCUCGCUGAAAUCCUUUCCCCUUGUCUCAGUACUCUCAGUGUAUUUGCCCCACUCUUCUCCCUCCGCAGCCAGAGGGAUGAGGGCCUGGGGGUGGGGGGGAUAUAGCUGAGGAAGCGGAUAAGCUUGGGAGAGGGAGAGGGGAAGCUAACGGGAGAGAUUUUGCUGUCGUCUAAGGGCUGAUUGGAAGAGGCAAUCAUUGUAUCUGCGGUUGGAGGAUUAGAGGAGAAACUUUUAUUGCUCCCUUUUGUGAGUGCGUGCGUGCAAAUGGAGAAGCCUCUUCUCCAAGGGGAGCAUCCUUUCGGUUGGCAUCAGGUGCAGCUCAGGGAGGGACUGAGAGCAUUUCCCUCAUCCGUGAGCUGAGGGACGAGGGGAAACAACCCCUCUUCUCUCACUCUUCCUUCUCCAGUUCUGAAAUCGUUCCUUCUCCAGCACUGCCGCCUCCCCGUUCCUCCCCUCCCCUUCCCUUCCCCUGCUCUGGAUGAGUGGAAUAGCCUCCAGGGUUUCCUCCUGCUCCUCGCCCCGGACCGGAGCAGUGAGGGGAUAUCACUAACCCUCAUCCGUCUCCGUCUCGCUCCAUCCGUUCCCGAGAGGACUUCAGACGGUGCCAUGUGUUUUCAGCCUCUCGCCGCUGCAACCACUUGAUACCACGCAACGCGCAGGGAGAGAGAGGCUUUUGCAAAAUGGAUUUGUUCGAUUUUAAAGGAUUUCUUCUCUAAUAAGGAUCGCAUUGCACACAAAUAUGACUAAAUCCCCUAUUUGGUAAAUCUUUCUUCCCCCACCCCUCCUCUUUGGGUUCCCUCCCUCCCACCCCCACCCCUUCAGAGGAGCAAGCACGGGGAGCUGAUGACGGACCCAUUAAUCCCUUCUUCAAUGCAUCAAAAGAAGCCGAAGGGCUGGAAGUCGCUGGGCGCGGAGUCCUGCAGGAGAUGUUUCCCUCCGCUCUGGGUUCUGUAUGAAGCUGGGGACUAAGGCUCGGCUCGCCCCGCCGCAGCUCGCCGGCACCUGGAGGCGCGGGUCGCCGCCGUGCCCGCUGCCGCGAUGCUCCGCUGCCGGCAGUGCUGCCGGGAGCUCGCCGUGAUGGGAUCGAGCCGGCCGUGAUCGGUGGAAGGCGGCGAGGGAGAGAGCGAGCGGGAAGAAGGGCUGCUCCGCUCCGCUGUGUGUGGGCUCCGCGUUUUGGUGUUUUUUUUGUUGUUUUGGUUUGGAUUUUUUGUUUGUUUGUUUUUUCUUUUUUCUUUUCCUACUUCCAUCCUCUCCCUGCCACUGGAAGUCCUCCCGUAUCUAAAUGGAAUUAGUGGAGACCGAAGCCCCUUGUGUAAGGCACAGACAUGACCCAUGGGCGCAGCUUCCUUCACAUCGUAGCAAGUCUAAUCAUCCUACAUUUGUCUGGGGCAACCAAAAAAGGAACAGAAAAGCAGACUACUGCCGAAGGACAGAAACCAGUGCAGUGUGGAACUUGGACAAAAUAUGCGGAAGGAGGCAUCUUCACUUCUCCCAAUUAUCCCAACAAGUAUCCUCCUGACAGAGAGUGUGUCUACAUUAUAGAAGCUGCCCCUAGACAAUGCAUUGAACUACACUUUGAUGAAAAAUAUUCCAUAGAGCCUUCUUGGGAAUGUAAAUUUGAUCACAUUGAAGUACGAGAUGGACCUUUUGGCUUUUCUCCAAUCAUUGGACGUUUCUGUGGACAGCAAAAUCCACCUAUGAUAAAAUCCAGUGGCAGAUUUCUGUGGAUUAAAUUUUUUGCUGAUGGUGAGCUGGAAUCUAUGGGGUUUUCUGCUCGAUAUAAUUUUACACCUGAUCCAGAUUUUAAGGACCUUGGAGUUUUGAAACCAUUGCCAGGAUUCAUUUUUCUGAUAUUUUGUUAUUUAGUUUGUGAGUUUGAAAUGGGAGGACCUGAAGGAAUUGUGGAAUCUGUACAAAUUGUCAAGGAAGGAAAAGCUUCUGAAACUGAAGCAGUAGACUGUAAAUGGUACAUCCGAGCACCACCCCGAUCCAAGAUAUAUUUGCGAUUCUUGGACUAUGAGAUGCAGAAUUCCAAUGAAUGCAAAAGGAAUUUUGUAGCUGUCUAUGAUGGAAGCAGCUCUGUGGAGGAUUUAAAAGCAAAGUUUUGCAGCACUGUUGCAAAUGAUGUAAUGCUGCGGACAGGUCUUGGAGUAAUCCGUCUGUGGGCAGAUGAAGGCAGUCGAAGCAGCCGAUUCCAGAUGCUCUUCACAUCUUUCCAAGAACCCCCUUGUGAAGCCAACACUUUCUUUUGCCACAGUAAUAUGUGUAUUAAUAAUACAUUGGUCUGCAAUGGACUCCAGAACUGUGUGUAUCCUUGGGAUGAAAACCACUGCAAAGAAAAAAGAAAAGCUAACCUAUUGGACCAACUCACCAAUACCAGUGGGACUAUAAUUGGGGUGACCUCUUGCAUUGUCAUCAUCCUCAUUGUUAUCUCUGUGAUAGUACAGAUCAAGCAGCCUCGUAAAAAAUUUGUCCAAAGGAAAACAGACUUUGAUCAAACAGUGUUCCAGGAGGUGUUUGAGCCUCCUCAUUAUGAGUUAUGCACCCUCAGAGGGACAGGGACUACAGCUGACCUUGCUGAUGUUGCAGAUGACUUUGAAAAUUAUCAUAAACUGCGGAGAUCAUCUUCAAAAUGCAUUCAUGACCAUCACUGUGGAUCACAACUGUCUAGCACUAAGGGCAGCCGUAGUAACCUCAGCACAAGAGAUGCUUCUGUCUUGACAGAAAUACAACCCCAGCCUGUAAAACCCCUCAUUCAACCCGUGAACAGGAGAAAUAUCCUUGUCAUGAAGCAUAGCUACUCACAAGAUGCUGCAGAUGCGUGUGAGAUAGAUGAAAUUGAAGAGGUACCAACCACAAGCCACAGGCUGUCAAGACAUGAUAAAGCUGUUCAGCGCCAUAACAUUCCAGGUUCUGCCUCAUUGGGUCUCUAAGCAAACAUGAGUCUGAGUACAACACAACUAGGGUCUAAGAGACAAACCUGAGAGUUCUUGAGAAUAGUGCGCACCUGGGUGAUUUUGAACAUGCUACAAUGAAAUGUGAAACUAUGGACCUUGGAAACACCAGCUAGAGGUUUUAUGGACUCUCUGACCAGCUAUUCUCAUAUCAUGACAAAAUUCAGCAAACAGUGUUGAGUAAAAUCACUAGAUGGCAAUAAGACUUUCAUCAUUAUGCUUAUCAGUCCUUUCUCUUUUUCUAUUUCUCUCUUCUUUUCAUUGCAAGUAAAAUUCCCAAUUUCAGGAACAAUUUAUUAAAAUCAGGUAUUUAGCAGCUCAUCUUCAAUAGAAAUGUUUGUUGGAUAAGCAUCUAGCAAUAUGGCUGAAUUUGACAUUGAGAAAAUAAUCUGCAUGUAUGUUACUGAAUAUUUGAGUUGGCAAAAAUCUCUUGAUUAGACACAUUGUAAAAAGCAUGCAUUCACAACUGUUGCUGUUACUGUUCCAUUUCUGUGUCAUAUGCUUGCUACUUGUAACUUUUUAUAUAAAGAUACAUAAAAAAAUGUAUAAUAAUUUC